CCUAGUUGAUCCUGCCAGUAGUCAUAUACUUGUCACAAAGAUUAAUCCAUGCAUGUCUAAGUAUGAACUAAUUCAGACUGUGAAACUACGGAUGGCUCAUUAAAUUAGUUACAGUUUUUUUUAUGGUACCGUACUACUCGGAUAACUGUAGUAAUUCUAGAGCUAAUAUGUGCACCAAGUCCUGACUCUUUGGAAGGGAUGCAUUUUUUAGAUAAAAGGUCGGCACGGGCUUGCCCGCCUCUCCGAUGAAUCAUGAUAACUUGACGGAUCACACAACCCUUGUGUUGUCGAUGCUUCAUUCAAAUUUUUGCCCUAUCAGCUUUCAAUGGUAGUAUAGAGGCCGACCAUAUUGGUGAUGGGUGACGGAGAAUUAUGGUUCGAUUCUAGAGAGGGAGCCUGAGAAACGGCUACCACAUCUAAGGAAGGAAGCAUGCACACAAAUUACCUAAUCUUGACAUGGGGAGGUAGUGACAAUAAAUAACAAUAUUGGGCUCAUCGAGUCUGGUAAUUGGAAUGAGUACAAUCUAAAUCCCUUAACAAGGAUCCAUUGGAGGGAAAUUUUGGAGCCAGUAUCCGCGGUAAUUCCAGCUCCAAUAGCAUGUAUUUAAGUUGUUUCAGUUAAAAAUCUCAUAGUUGGAUCUUGGGUCGUAAAGGUUGGUCCGCCUACUCGGUGUGCACCUGCCCUUUCGUCCCUUUUGUCAUCGGUGUCAUCCUGGCCUUAAUUGGCCGGGUCGUAGCUGCGACGUUGUUACUUUGAAAAAAUAGAGUUCUCAAAGCAAGCUUAUGCUCUGAAUACAUUAGCAUGGAAUAAUGUGACAGGAGUCUGGUCCUAUUAUGUUGGCCUUUGGGACCGGAGUAAUGAUUAAUAGGAACUGUUGGGGGCAUUCAUAUUUCAUUGUUAGAGGUGAAAUUCUUGGGUUUAUGAAAGACGGACCACUGCGAAAGAAUUUGCCAAGGAUGUUUUCAUUAAUCAAGAAUGAAAGUUGGGGUCUCGAAGACGAUCAGAUACCAUCCUAGUCUCAACCAUAAACGAUGUCGACCAGGCAUCGACAAAUGUUGCUCUAAGGACUCUGCCAGCACCUUCUGAGAAAUCAUAGUGUUUGGGUUUCAGGGGGAGUAUAGUCAUAUGGCUGAAACUUAAAGGAAUUGAUGGAAGGGCACCACCAAGAGUGGAGCCCGCGGCUUAAUUUGACUCAACACGGGGAAACUUACCAGGUCCAGACAUAGUAAGGAUUGACAGAUUGAGAGCUCUUUCUUGAUUCUAUGGGUGGUGGUGCAUGGCCAUUCUUAGAUGGUGGAGAAAUUUGUCUGGUUAAUUCUGAUAACAGAUGAGACCUUAGCCUGCUAACUAGCUAUGCGGAGGUUCCCCUUUGCGGCCAGCUUCUUAGAGGGACUAUGGCCCUUUAGGCCAUGGAAUUUUGAGGCAAUAAUAGGUCUGUGAUGCCCUUAGAUGUUCUGGGCUGCACGCUUGCUACACUGAUGCAACCAACAAGUUUUUCUUUCUGGAUCAAGAGAAUCGGGAAAUCUUCUCAAAUUGCAUCGUGAUGGGGAUAAACCAUUGCAAUUAUUGGUCUUCAACGAGGAAUUCCUAGUAAGUUCGUGUGUUAUAGACAUUUUUGGGCACUUCAACCCCAAUCACAAAUUUCCAUAAAAUGAGGGCUCCUAAGUCCCUAAAAGUGUUGCUUCACUGCCUAAAGGAACAAGGUCAACUGAUUACAUCAUCUCCCAGAAGUUCUCCACUGAAAAUUG
rnacentral:rRNA from 1 species